ensembl:lncRNA
UUUUUUUUUUUUUUUAAGAAAUUCGUUUUCUGUGCUAAUCUGCUGCUGGGUUUGUGCAUGAGAGCCUUAUUAGUGUUAGAAAAAGCAGUCCACCUCUGCAUAAUAUAGUUUUCCUUUAAGCAGCAUAACUUUGAGUGCAGUCACAGCCUUUCAAAUGGACAGUUUGUACAUCAGCUUCAUUUGAUAAAAUAGAUCUUAGAGUACUCAGCAGGUACAGCUAUUAAUUAAUCAAGGUUUAUGUUGCCAAGUAAAUCUCUCUCUGCCUGAAUUAUCAGUCAUAAUGUAUUAGCCUCACUGAAAUCUUACCCUUAUACUUAAUUUUAUAUAAUGCUGUACUGACAAAAAUAAUUUAAAUAAGUAAAAUUUUGAAAACCCCAAUAACAAAGUAGCCCAUUUAAAGAUGAGAUAUUUUUUAGCUGACCUAUGAUUAUUCCUUGUUUUCAGUUAUAACUUUAACCAAGUAGAAGGAAAAUUUAUUGAGGGAAUCCUGAAUAUCGAUUUUAUUCAUAAUUCAAAGUUUCUUACAAAGUUUAAUCAAUAAGACUACUGGGCAAGAGAGACUUUCCAAAUCAUGCCUAGUAAUAUAACACUAAGAUUAGAUUCUUUAUUUGAAUUUUCAAUUCUUCCAUUGGUUUAGACAUUUCACAGUGAUCUAUUGAUCCACACCAAAUACCUCUCAUUAUAAAUUAACCAACCAAAUGCAGACUCUGUCAGUUCUGAACUGUGUGUUAAUAGAUCACCAACUUUGUAUCCUAGCCUCAUGUAUAUAAGUUUCCAGAACACUCAACACGGAGCUGAACUGAAGGAGAAGUCAAGGGGAGAUUAUGUAAAAUGUGCAUUUUUCUGCAUGUGUACGCAUUCUGACUGCAUUUGAAAAGAACAAACUAAAUGAUCCUUUCCCAUUUCCCAAACUAAUGAUCAUUUUUCAAUGAUCCUUUCCCAUUUUGUACAGUAUAUAGCUUGUUCACAUCAUUAGAAUAAUUAAGAGUUAUUAUUAUACCAGUUAUUAUUAUUAUUUCCCUUACAUAUAAAAAUAUAACCAUAAAAAGAAACCGAAAAAGUGUUGCCCUCUUGGAAGUCAUAUAGAUGGUAGCAAAGCCAAGGAUUCUUUUAAAAUGAUUAUCUAAUUUUGUAAGAUUCAAGAAGAUACUAGGCAGUCUUCUUAAGGGACCAAUGAGAUGAAUAUCCUCAUAUUUCCUUCUACCCAAUUUCCUUUACUCAUUCUUAUGAAGAGAGAAGGUAAGUGAACAGUAGUACAGACCAGCAUACAUUACAGGACUGCUGCCAAGUGCUAGCUAAUGGAUUUUGUGAACAUAUUUUGAAAACUGUUACUUGGUACAUAAAUAUGAGUAAUUGAUCUAGAGGCAGCAUAUGUUUUGGUUAGAGGCAUAGACUGAAUGGUUUCAAACCUCUUCCAUGAUGUCUAGCUCUGUGACCUCAUAUAAAGGAUUGAGGGAUAAUAAAAUACUUAGUUUUUACAUUGUUAGGAUGAUACAAUAAGCUGACAUUUUAAGAUUAUUUAGAGAGUGUAUCUUACAUGUUGGUGAUAUUUGGCAAAAAAAAAAAAUACUUUUUUUUUUUUUUUUUUUUUUUUUUGUACUCAUCUUGGAGAGCACACAAAUGGAAUUAGAAAGUGAUAGAGUUUAGUUCCCAUUGUGGUUCAGUGGAAACAAAUCCAACCAGUAUCUGUGAGGGUGAAGGUUUGAUCUCUGGCCUCACUCAGUGGGUCAUGGAUCUGGCAUUUCCCUGAACUGUGGUACAGGUCGCAGAUGUGGCUCAGAUCCUGCAUUGCUAUGGCUGUGGCUAUGGCUGGCAGCUGUAGCUCUGAUUCAGCCCCUAGCCUGGGAACUUCCAUGUGCUGUGUGUACGGCCUUAAAAAGCAAAAAAAAAAAAAAAAAAAAAUUAAAAAGUUAAUUAAUUAAUUAAUUAAAUAAAAAUUGGUUUAAAAAAGUGAUAAAAGUUGAAAUACAUAUUCUGUUUGAACAAUUAUGACUAUUAUCCCCAUAAUAAUUUUAAUAGUAAUAAUGUCUACAAUGUAUUAAACAUCUACUAGUAGUCUAGUAGUACUAUUUACUACAUCUGCUAGUAAUAUUUACUACACUCUUAUCUUUUGUUUAACUUCACUAUAGUCCUUUAUAUAGAGCUUAUUUUCCCAUUUUAAAAACAUAGAAACUAAUCCCAGUAAAUAGUAGAGGUAAGACUGCCCCUUAUCUGGGAUGCUUUGUGUAAAUUAUUUAUUGUUUGAAAGCUGGAUGAACUAAAUGACAACUUGGAGUGCAUCCUAUCUCAUGACUUUGUGUGGUGCUGGGAUUGCUGCAUCCUGAGCCAGGCUGUCAGACACUCCAAGCACAGCCUCAGAAGAUCAUAAUAACUCCAACAAGUGCUGCUAUAAUAAGACUUGAAAGUAGCACUUAAUGUUUCCUGGAUCGCAUGCCAGAAAAUCUGUCACUUUGAAUAUCACUGUCUGCCAUUACAAAGAAAGUUGGACAACUUUGUCCAGAUGUGCUGUGUUUAUCAGAAAGUUGUGAGCCACUUUUGAAGACUGUAUGUAAAGGAAGAAACAGUCAGUGAGGGUGGGGCAAUGAAUAAAUGGGAGUCAACUGAACAUGCCUCAAAUAUUUAAAAAAUGAUUCAGAGAAAAGCAACAGAAAGAUAGUAAGUAUUCUAGUGUGGAGGAUGGGCCAAAGACAUUCUAGAGGAAAAAGAAAGGAAGAUUAUAAUAAAUUAAGAAGAGAGUGUAAAGGAGGCAGUUAACAUCUCUCAACAGAGACCAAGAAAAGACGGACAAAUGGAGAGAAAGGAGCUCUGAAAAUCUUAUGGAUUUACCCAGAAAUGCACAAGAAAGAAGAAAGGAAGCAGAGCGAUGAGUUAAAGAGUUAUACAGUUAACUUGCAUUCAAUUAAAAAUUAUCAGGAUAUUUAAUUUUUCACCUGCUUCUUUAAUU